UGUGCUAUAGUCUGCCUGUAAUUGUGCGUGUGACUGCCUUCAACAUGGAUGCUGUCCAGGAAGUAGGAGGGUCUGGGAGGGAGGUUCUGCCGGAGAUUGGCAGGGAUGUGUCAGCUGACCGGAGUUCGCGGACGGUUCGCGACAUCACUAGUGACCACGGGUAAUGGGGAAUCAGUGUUCCAUUCCAUACAGGGACCCUGAGAAACGGCUACCACAUGCAAGGAAGGCAGCAGGCGCGCAAAUGACCCACUCCCGAUGCGGGAAGGUAGUGACGACAAAUAACAAUACAGGACUCUUUAGAGGCCCUGUAAUUGUAAUGAGUCCACUUGAAAUCCUUUAACUCUUAUCAAUUGGAGGGAAGUCUGGUUCAGAGCCACUGACCCGUGCGUGCUGCAGCUAAAACUUCAAU